GUUAGGCUUCCUCCAUCUAACCGAUUCGCUACGAUUUUAGUCAUGGUGGAUCGUGGGAAGGUUUGGCACCUCGAUGUCGGCUCUUCGCCACCUGGAGCUGUAGUGUGUUCCAAGGGUUGGGUUGUUCGCCCAAUAAAUCGGUACGUGAGCUGGGUUCAAAACGUCGUGAGACAGUUCGGUCCAUAUCCGGUGUGGGCAUUAGAGCAUCGAGAGGACCGGGAAGGACGCACCUCUGGUGUACCAGUUAUCAUCGUGCCCAGGGUAAACGCUGGGUAGCCAAGUGCGGAGCGGAUAACUGCUGAAAGCAUCUAAGUAGGACACUCAUU
rnacentral:lncRNA from 1 species